rnacentral:rRNA from 1 species
GUUUGAUCCUGGCUCAGGAUGAACGCUGGCGGCGUGCUUAACACAUGCAAGUCGAACGAACCUUCGGGUUAGUGGCGGACGGGUGAGUAACGCGUGAGAAUCUGCCCUCAGGAGGGGGAUAACGGUUGGAAACGACCGCUAAUACCCCAUAUGCCUACUGGUGAAAUGAAUUUCGCCUGAGGAUGAGCUCGCGUCUGAUUAGCUUGUUGGUGAGGUAAUGGCUCACCAAGGCUUCGAUCAGUAGCUGGUCUGAGAGGAUGAUCAGCCACACUGGGACUGAGACACGGCCCAGACUCCUACGGGAGGCAGCAGUGGGGAAUUUUCCGCAAUGGGCGAAAGCCUGACGGAGCAACGCCGCGUGAGGGAUGAAGGCCUCUGGGCUGUAAACCUCUUUUAUCAAGGAAGAAGAUCUGACGGUACUUGAUGAAUAAGCCACGGCUAAUUCCGUGCCAGCAGCCGCGGUAAUACGGGAGUGGCAAGCGUUAUCCGGAAUUAUUGGGCGUAAAGCGUCCGCAGGCGGCCCUUCAAGUCUGCUGUUAAAAAGUGGAGCUUAACUCCAUCAUGGCAGUGGAAACUGUUGGGCUUGAGUGUGGUAGGGGCAGAGGGAAUUCCCGGUGUAGCGGUGAAAUGCGUAGAUAUCGGGAAGAACACCAGUGGCGAAGGCGCUCUGCUGGGCCAUCACUGACGCUCAUGGACGAAAGCCAGGGGAGCGAAAGGGAUUAGAUACCCCUGUAGUCCUGGCCGUAAACGAUGAACACUAGGUGUCGGGGGAAUCGACCCCCUCGGUGUCGUAGCCAACGCGUUAAGUGUUCCGCCUGGGGAGUACGCACGCAAGUGUGAAACUCAAAGGAAUUGACGGGGGCCCGCACAAGCGGUGGAGUAUGUGGUUUAAUUCGAUGCAACGCGAAGAACCUUACCAGGGUUUGACAUCCUGCGAAUUUCUGGGAAACCGGAAAGUGCCUUCGGGAGCGCAGUGACAGGUGGUGCAUGGCUGUCGUCAGCUCGUGUCGUGAGAUGUUGGGUUAAGUCCCGCAACGAGCGCAACCCACGUCUUUAGUUGCCAGCAUUCAGUUGGGCACUCUAGAGAGACCGCCGGUGAUAAACCGGAGGAAGGUGUGGAUGACGUCAAGUCAUCAUGCCCCUUACAUCCUGGGCUACACACGUACUACAAUGCUACGGACAAAGGGCAGCAAGUUCGCGAGGACAAGCAAAUCCCAUAAACCGUGGCUCAGUUCAGAUCGUAGGCUGCAACUCGCCUACGUGAAGGAGGAAUCGCUAGUAAUCGCAGGUCAGCAUACUGCGGUGAAUACGUUCCCGGGCCUUGUACACACCGCCCGUCACACCAUGGAAGUUGGCCACGCCCGAAGCCGUUACUCCAACCCUUGUGGAGGAGGACGUCGAAGGUGGGGCUGAUGACUGGGGUGAAGUCGUAACAAGGUAACC